CGCCGGCGCACGGGUGCGUAACGCGUAUGCAACCUACCUUUAACAGGGGAGUAACACUGAGAAAUUGGUACUAAUACCCCAUAAUAUCAUAGAAGGCAUCUUUUUAUGGUUGAAAAUUCCGAUGGUUAGAGAUGGGCAUGCGUUGUAUUAGCUAGUUGGUGGGGUAACGGCUCACCAAGGCGACGAUACAUAGGGGGACUGAGAGGUUAACCCCCCACACUGGUACUGAGACACGGACCAG
rnacentral:rRNA from 1 species